rnacentral:rRNA from 2 species
UGAUUGGUGCUUGCAUCAUGAUUUACAUUUGAGUGAGUGGCGAACUGGUGAGUAACACGUGGGAAACCUGCCCAGAAGCGGGGGAUAACACCUGGAAACAGAUGCUAAUACCGCAUAACAACUUGGACCGCAUGGUCCGAGUUUGAAAGAUGGCUUCGGCUAUCACUUUUGGAUGGUCCCGCGGCGUAUUAGCUAGAUGGUGGGGUAACGGCUCACCAUGGCAAUGAUACGUAGCCGACCUGAGAGGGUAAUCGGCCACAUUGGGACUGAGACACGGCCCAAACUCCUACGGGAGGCAGCAGUAGGGAAUCUUCCACAAUGGACGAAAGUCUGAUGGAGCAACGCCGCGUGAGUGAAGAAGGGUUUCGGCUCGUAAAACUCUGUUGUUAAAGAAGAACAUAUCUGAGAGUAACUGUUCAGGUAUUGACGGUAUUUAACCAGAAAGCCACGGCUAACUACGUGCCAGCAGCCGCGGUAAUACGUAGGUGGCAAGCGUUGUCCGGAUUUAUUGGGCGUAAAGCGAGCGCAGGCGGUUUUUUAAGUCUGAUGUGAAAGCCUUCGGCUCAACCGAAGAAGUGCAUCGGAAACUGGGAAACUUGAGUGCAGAAGAGGACAGUGGAACUCCAUGUGUAGCGGUGAAAUGCGUAGAUAUAUGGAAGAACACCAGUGGCGAAGGCGGCUGUCUGGUCUGUAACUGACGCUGAGGCUCGAAAGUAUGGGUAGCAAACAGGAUUAGAUACCCUGGUAGUCCAUACCGUAAACGAUGAAUGCUAAGUGUUUGGAGGGUUUCCGCCCUUCAGUGCUGCAGCUAACGCAUUAAGCAUUCCGCCUGGGGAGUACGGCCGCAAGGCUGAAACUCAAAGGAAUUGACGGGGGCCCGCACAAGCGGUGGAGCAUGUGGUUUAAUUCGAAGCUACGCGAAGACC